GGCCCUCUAUCCCGAUAGUACGGAAGGCCUCCCCCCGCCUGCUCAUGCCGCACUUGCUCUGUUGUGUUAAAAGGGAAAAUUCCCUUCCCAUGUGCGUGUCCAGUCCGCGUAUGUCUGUUAUAUGUGUGAGGAGGGUUUUGAUUAAACUUUGCCAUGUUUACAAAUAAAAAAUUGCUGAAAAUAGCAUCACUUACACUGUCUGCCCAAGCGCGAUAAACGGAUCACGGGGUGUGUGAGCUGCUGGGAUUGGACAUGUGUACAGUACACUACUAGUAGCAUAACACAAAACACAGAGCACUCUUUUGUAUGUGUAUUUUUGGAUGUGCUUCACCAAACCUGGCUGGCGGCGGAUGUGUCUUGGUUUCUAAUCGUACCGCUGACUUGUUGGGCAUCUGUCGUCACGUGAAGGGUCGUCAACCAAGGUGGUUCUGGACAGCAGUAUCAGGGACAACACAAGCAGGGGGGAUGGGCUUUGGGGGCAAUAAAGAUAGGGACUGACUGACUUAGCAGUUCAUGUUUGACGGAAGUUUCGCUUUCACGACUGGAACAGUUUCCAUCGAUGAGAGUAUUAUUUUCCAAUUUCCAGUUACACUGUUACAUGUACAUUAUGUAUACAUGUACAGUGUUUUUGUAUGCACCAGUCUGCCGAAUUUCAAAAUCCAACAGUGCUUGACAGAAGACUUGGAAGGUACAAACCAAGCCAAUGUCUCGUCCACACCUAGCCCCAAACCAAUCAACCCCUGGUAUCCAGCGAGCUGUCAAAACAUUGCAUUCCUGAGACACCUGCAAACAGGGAGCGAAAAGGGUCUCUGCCUGUGAUUGCCAUUGAAAUGCACCCUUACUUGCUCAACACCGGUGUUCCCUCAGAUGCAGAAAUGUCACGUUGCUGUCCCAGUCUCGACACGCCUUACUCUGUGUGCGGCACGUUUUCUCUCUCCCCGCUACCAGGACAUGGUGAAGGGUUUCAUGUUUCAUCAGGUUCACCUCACCCAGCGAAGUUCUACAUGAUAACACGGUGUAAUACAGCAUUGGUUUCCCUUUCAGUCUGAGCCCGGCACUCCGCCAGACUGUAACACAUCCCCUCCUGGUGUACCUACUGGGAGGUGAGAGAGUCCGUAAGCCGGGCGACUUUUGAAUGAUUGAUGGGCCCCAAUCAUUUAUUCAAUGACUCAUUUAAGCAUUGUUUAAUCAUUGAUUCCAGACACAUCCCUUGUUUGCCCAUGCAAUUUGGCAGUGGGUGAACGGCCAUUCUAAUCUUAGGGGGAGGGAAGAAUUCAGCCAAACCUGCCUAUACUGGGCCCUUGUUUCUCGCGAUUUUUGUAAUCAAGUCAGUUGGUUUUGGAUUACUUUCCCUACAGACCUUACUGACACAUUUUACUUUAAUGCCACUCUUGUUACUCGAUGUAGUUGCUUCCGUUAAAAUUCUCAACCUCUGAUUUGAAAAUCUGACCGUCAGCUGAAGACCCUUGGAUUUGUCUCGGAAAGUGAAGGUCCUUAUGAGGUAAGAAUUGCCUUGUUAAAUGGAUUGGUCAGAGAGAGGCACAGUUGAGGGAACCAAAGAGGGCAGUGUCAGUGCCCAUUUCAAUUGGUGGUUGUUACUGGCUCUGAAAAACAAAUUGAAAGAAAUUUUGAUUUCAGACAUACGAUCUCAAGCAGCCGACUGUACUAACUGACUCGGUGGUUCAGAUCAAUUUGGGAGAUUUCAGUUGGGCCAAACAUUAAGUAACCUGUAAUAUGUGGCAGCACAGCAAGACAAAAAGAAAGUUUCAUUCUGGGAAGAAAAAAGAGAGGAAAGAGUUUCCAUCAAGAAUAAAUGGGAUGGCUGAAAUUAGUUCUUGGGGGGGAAGUAUGUUUGAGAAUCUGUCAGAAAUGUUCUAAAAUUGUUCUAAAGAUUUCAGAACACUUCUGAGAGUUCUACCAGAGUUGUCAAUAUUUAAGUUUAGAUGGAGGACGAGGGCUUUAUGAUUUGAGGAAUGCAGGGUUAAAGGAGAGAUGCAGUAUGAUUUUUAUGACUUAAAUACAUGUAGGGAAGCUUUCUUGAAAUGUCCACCUCUUUUGAAACAGUAAAAGGGGAAGCCUUCAACAUUUUGGUUUUCAUGCCAAUGAAAACUUCCAUGUUUAUAAGCCAGAACGUGAUGCCAGUCAAGGCAGAGCAGUUGUGUAACCAUUCCUCUGUGUAAAAAUAUAUGUCACACUUUUCUACAUUUUUUUAGCAUGUUCCUCCUUUUACUUGUUUAUGAGUUUGUUCAUACAAUAUGAAUGGCCAUCAUUGGUGGUAGAUUUGGUGGUCUAUUUUGAAAUUGUUUAUUUUAAAGGGCAAAUUUUUUGCAAGUUUUUCUUGCCCUCUUUUGAUAAAGAGUGCCUUGAAAAUAAAAGAAAAGUAGUGCCUUCUGAGUAGUAUCGAUGAAAGGAUUUUCCAAGAAUGGAAAGACCACUACCUUUUGUCACGACCCAAUGGAAACAAAGUGUCAAUUGUAUUGUUAUAAUACAUAGUGAUAUGUAUGAAAACAAGUUGAGCUGAAUGUACUUUGUGUGCUUCCUUCGAACUCCCUCCCCUUUUCAGUUCCUCCCUCCCAACUGCCUGUAAUGAGUGUUUCAUCAGCCGCUGCUGUAAAGUUCUAUCCUUUUCUUUAUCACCCGGCAUGGCACCGACCGAUAAGGCACCGCAGUUCACUUCUCAGUCCCAACUGCAACCCUCCCCGUCUUCAAGUUGGCUCCAUAUACUUACCCAUUUCCCGCAUGACUGUCUGACCGCCUGACCGCCAUACAUCUUGAUUAUACUUCGACAUUUACUCCAGAAAAAAAAAAUGUGUUAAGGUUGAAUUACCUUUUCUGCCAUCCACAUUUAUGGCUACACUUUGAUGAGUGAUAACAACAAAACAAGAUGUUUUACACAGUCAACAGCUUUGGUCCGGAUGUGACUCCAUUUCACUAAUUCACAAAAGGAUUAGCUAGUGGACUCUUUACCCCAACUUCACCCUGCCCUGCCAUCAAAGUAACGAAGUGGCUUCCGCCAGCUCUUUGUGAAUCUUUGUUGAUUUUGCAGAUCUUUGACAGAAAAUUGCUUUUAUAACCUGGGUGGAGUGUUGUUCAUUGAAAUGAAUCCCUGGAUUGCUUGCUCUGUUCUGAUUCUGUCUUUAGGCUCAGCAAUCUUGCGGUUAUUUGUUCUUGUCAGUCAAUGCAUCAUCUAUCCCCCUGUCCUAAGGAAAGGCAGACAGACAAAUUUUGGUUUAGCAAUUUCUUCUUGUAGAAAAUAAUCAAACACCCCCCCCUCAUUCUUUUCACACAAAUCUUUAACACUUGUGACUAAACCUUCACAUUGCCUUCCAGAACAUUGGCCGUAUUGGAAAUAUGGGCUCAGAUAACACUGGGGGUAACAGUUUCAAGUAUUUCACUGGGAGUGGACAGACAUUGCAAUCCUGGAUGAAACCCAAUUGUCAGUAUUCAUGAGUGGUAAUGUAUAAAGACCUGGUGUGGCAACAAUCUGAUGCAUCAGAUCGUCCUGUUUGAACUUUUGUGGUGGAAGAACUACAGGUGCUCUUUGGAAAUUGCAGGGUCUCUUGCUGUGUUGAACAUCAGCAGUUUAACUCCCUCCUUUAACAUCUGUCACCCCCACCCCUUAAUUCUUACCGACUUUUGUGGUUUUGGUCAUUUGGUUCAACUCAAUUGACAUAUCCCUUUCAAAUUGAAAUGCAGAGUGAAGACCUCAGAAAAUCUCCUUGUUAGUUGCUCAUAAAAUACUCCAUUCUGAGGAGAAAAGGGUCAUGUUGCUUUUUUUCUGCAAGUCAUGUCACAAGUCAUUUUUCGUCAAGUCACAAGUCAAUUUGUCCCAAGUCAAACUGCAAUUUCAAUUGUCUUAGUCAAGUUAUGUCACACAUUUGUCCAAACUCAUUUAUUUUUCAAGCCUAUCUAAUGGCAUACUUGACAUGCUGUUGUUUCCAUCACUUUUGACCCAUUUUCCAUUCUUGUGUGGUGUAUACUUUUCAAGUGUGAUCGAUAUAGACAGCACUGUGACACUGCCAACAAUCAUUUGAAAUAAAAACUUGCUUCAGUCCUGCAUUUUGAGAUUUUUUCCAUUUGGAUUGUUGCAUCAUGAAGUGACA
rnacentral:lncRNA from 1 species